AUUGAACGCUGGCGGCAGGCCUAACACAUGCAAGUCGAGCGGAUGAAGGGAGCUUGCUCCUGGAUUCAGCGGCGGACGGGUGAGUAAUGCCUAUGAAUCUGCCUGGUAGUGGGGGAUAACGUCCUGAAACGGGCGCUAAUACCGCAUACGUCCUGAGGGAGAAAGUGGGGGAUCUUCGGACCUCACGCUAUCAGAUGAGCCUAGGUCGGAUUAGCUAGUUGGUGGGGUAAAGGCCUACCAAGGCGACGAUCCGUAACUGGUCUGAGAGGAUGAUCAGUCACACUGGAACUGAGACACGGUCCAGAGUACUACGGGAGGCAGCAGUGGGGAAUAUUGGACAAUGGGCGAAAGCCUGAUCCAGCCACGCCGCGUGUGUGAAGAAGGUCUUCGGAUUGUAAAGCACUUUAAGUUGGGAGGAAGGGCAGUAAGUUAAUACCUUGCUGUUUUGACGUUACCAACAGAAUAAGCACCGGCUAACUUCGUG
rnacentral:rRNA from 1 species